rnacentral:rRNA from 1 species
UAGGGAAUCUUCCACAAUGGACGCAAGUCUGAUGGAGCAACGCCGCGUGAGUGAAGAAGGUUUUCGGAUCGUAAAGCUCUGUUGUUGGUGAAGAAGGAUAGAGGCAGUAACUGGUCUUUAUUUGACGGUAAUCAACCAGAAAGUCACGGCUAACUACGUGCCAGCAGCCGCGGUAAUACGUAGGUGGCAAGCGUUGUCCGGAUUUAUUGGGCGUAAAGCGAGCGCAGGCGGAAUGAUAAGUCUGAUGUGAAAGCCCACGGCUAAACCGUGGAACUGCAUCGGAAACUGUCAUUCUUGAUUGCAGAAGAGGAGAGUGGAAUUCCAUGUGUAGCGGUGGAAUGCGUAGAUAUAUGGAAGAACAACAGUGGCGAAGGCGGCUCUCUGGUCUGCAACUGACGCUGAGGCUCGAAAGCAUGGGUAGCGAGCAGG